rnacentral:rRNA from 1 species
CAGCCGUAAACAAUGUGCGUUAGGUGUGUCGGUAACCACGUGUUACUGAUGCGCCGAAGAGAAAUCGUGAAACGCACCACCUGGGAAGUACGGUCGCAAGGCUGAAACUUAAAGGAAUUGGCGGGGGGAGCACCACAACAGGUGGAGCCUGCGGUUUAAUUGGAUUCAACGCCGGACAUCUCACCGGAUAAGACAGCUGAAUGAUUGUCAAUCUGAAGGUUUUACAUGACUAGCUGAGAGGAGGUGCAUGGCGUAGACGUCU